rnacentral:rRNA from 1 species
UACAGAGGGUGCAAGCGUUAAUCGGAUUUACUGGGCGUAAAGCGUGCGUAGGCGGUUCGCUAAGUCGGUUGUGAAAUCCCUGGGCUUAACCUGGGAACUGCAGUCGAUACUGGCGGACUAGAGUACGGUAGAGGGUGGCGGAACUCCGGGGUGUAGCGGUGAAAUGCGUAGAUAUCCGGAAGAACACCGAUGGCGAAGGCAACCACCUGGGCCUGUACUGACGCUGAGGUACGAAAGCGUGGGGAGCAAACAGGG